UAUUGGAAUGAGAACAAUUUAAAUAACUUAACGAGGAUCAAUUAGAGGGCAAGUCUGGUGCCAGCAGCCGCGGUAAUUCCAGCUCUAAUAGCGUAUAUUAAAGUUGUUGCAGUUAAAAAGCUCGCAGUUGGGUUUCUGGUGGGAGGGAUCAGUCCGACUUCAUUGUGGGUACUUGCAUCCUCUCCGGCCAUCCUUGGGUGGAGCCUAUCUGGCAUUAAGUUGUCGGGUAGGGGAUACCCAUCGUUUACUGUGAAAAAAUUAGAGUGUUCAAAGCAGGCUUAUGCCGUUGAAUAUAUUAGCAUGGAAUAAUAACAUAGGGCCUUGGUUCUAUUUUGUUGGUUUGCGCACCGAGGUAAUGACUAAUAGGGACAGUUGGGGGUAUUCGUAUUCAGUUGUCAGAGGUGAAAUUCUUAGAUUUACGGAAGACGAACUACUGCGAAAGCAUUUACCAAGGAUGUUUUCAUUAAUCAAGAACGAAAGUAUGGGGAUCGAAGAUGAUUAGAUACCAUCGUAGUCUAUACCAUAAACUAUGCCGACUCU
rnacentral:rRNA from 1 species